rnacentral:rRNA from 1 species
UACGUAGGGGGCAAGCGUUGUCCGGAAUCAUUGGGCGUAAAGAGCUCGUAGGCGGCUCGGUAAGUCGGGUGUGAAACCCCCAGGCUCAACCUGGGGACGCCACCCGAUACUGCUGUGGCUAGAGUCCAGUAGGGGAGUGUGGAAUUCCACGUGUAGCAGUGAAAUGCGUAGAGAUGUGGAGGAACACCGAUGGCGAAGGCAGCCCCCUGGGCUGAGAUUGACGCUCAGGCACGAAAGCGUGGGGAGCAAACAGG